rnacentral:misc_RNA from 1 species
AAUGAGGGUCGUCGCUCGAAGGUUCUCCUCGCCAGUCUUUCCUGAGCUCUCUUGUCGAACUUCGCGUCCUCGUGGAGAGCUCGCAGGAACAUGGCGGGAAUGCCGGACGACGGUGAUGGCCUCGUGCCGGAUCAGAGCCCCCCGUUGGGUGAAGCAGACCUGCUGAAUACAGAGAACGAAGAGCUUGGUCGCUGGAGCCACUUCUCACUUGCCAUGCUGGCAGCUGAGCAAGAAACGGCUUCUGCCGAACAGCGUGGAGAGGGCUGUGACGACGAUGAUGACCCCUCUGCUCGGCGUCAUGAGCUUGAGGAGCCUGAUCCUGUCACUAAGCUGGAACGCUAUGCUUACAGUGACAUUGUCUUCAAUCGGCAGCUUGUGGCUCGGAAUAUCGUGGACACCUUACGUGUUUGCCUAAAUUCUCAAGAUGCGGUCAGUGCAGUGUUGGCCGCCCUUUCUUCCAUAUCUAUGGACUGUGAACCAAGUGUGCGGACGGAAGUGGUCGAACAGCUUCCAAACAUUGCCAGUUUUUGUGCCAGUGAAGGUGGACUGCUGGAAAAUGUUGUCAAAGAACACGUGGUUUCAAUAUUGGUGCAGUACCUUACGGAUGUGGCCAAUCAGGUCAGAAAAAGGACCCAGGUGUCCCUGUUGUUCAUAUUGGAACAAGGAUUGAUAGAUCGCAAGCAGCUGGAAGAACAGAUAUGUGGUCUGGUCGUGCAUCUCACUGAAAGUGAAAACAUGGAUGACUAUCGCAUGGAAGCAGUAACGCUGAUGACUAAAAUGGCACCUUACAUUGGAAAAGAAACAACUGCUGCAUUGUUUCUUCCAAGAUUCGUCAAUCUUUGUCAAGACUCUUCCUUCCAUAUCCGAAAGGUGUGUGCUGCCAACUUUGGAGAUUUCUGCAGCAUUGUGGGGCAGGAAUGUACAGAAGACAAUCUUGAUGUCUUUCAGAUGCUGUGUGAAGACUGCGUCUGGGGGGUCCGCAAGGCUUGUGCAGAGGUUUUCAUGCCAGUCUCGUGCGUUUGCUCUCUGACCACACGUCGCAGUAGCCUGGCACCACUCUUUCUUAGCUUGCUGGAUGACCAGUCACGAUGGGUUCGGAUAGCAGCCUACCAGGCUCUGGGGCCCUUCAUAUCAACAUUUGCCAACCCGAUGCGCACAGGACUGUACUGCAGUGAAGAUGGGGUAGUGAGUGUGCAAACACCAGAAGACCAGUUCGAUGCUUUUAUUGAGGGAGAGGCACCCAGCACAUCUGACAACCCAGCGUUGCUGACAGCUUUUGAAAAGCCUGCUCCUUUGAAAGAUACUCGCACCAGUGAUUUGCCUCUUACUGGCACUGUUGGUGAUCCUGAUAGAGACCUGGCGAGCUUUGAGGUGGCUGCAGUGGAUGGAGAUGAAGUGGGCUGUGCUGUGCCAGAGAAAGCAGAACAGCAGGCAGUGUGGAAAGAUGACAAAGGGGAGCAAGCCUGUACCAACUCCUCUACGGCCACAGAAGACAGCACUUGUGGCUGUAAAAGCAGCCCUUCUUUUACGGUUUCUUGUGACAACACAAAAGACUUGCCUCCAUGCAGCACUGCAGAAGACGUGGCAGACUCGACCUUGGCUGUACAAGGAUUGUUCAAAAGAAACAUGCCUCUAAAGGACGGGUCUAUAGAGGAAGCACGCACACAGAGCUUCAAAAUUAGGGAGCCGUUGUCUGUACAAGGGGACAGGCAGAGGCUAGUUGUUCAUGUGGAUCCUGGAGCUGAGAGCGAUUUCAACACAUUCCAGUUUUGGCGGGUGCCUAUUCCAGAGGUGGAAGUGGACAUUGAAUUCUUAGGUGAUCGUCCUACAGCUGUGCAUGUCAGGGCAAUGUCUCAAGACAAAGAAAAUCUAUGUAUCUCUUCUGACGUCAGUGUUGAAGUACUUUGUACAGACACCCAUCAGUCUGCUACAAAUGCAGUCUCAUCUGCAGGACAAGCCGACACUGUUCCUAAAGAAAGGCGCUUCGGUGAUUCAUCUACUCUAAGAAUUCGGACGGCUUUAUCUUCACUAACAUCUGCUGACCAAGACUGUAACCUCUUGCUUUCUUCUUCAUUCACUGAAGCUUCUGUGGCUUUUAAUGAUGCUGGGGAAGUUGCAGGUGUGCACAAAGUACGGAUGAGCAACUCAAAAGAGAUGGCAGGCAGUGAAAGCAAGCUGCUUUCGAUAUCUCACAACACUCGUUCUGAUAGCUGGUCUGCACAUGAACAAGACAUAGUACCUGUGCUGUUGCUGGAGCGGUAUCAGACAAUGACUGAUCCUAAUUUGGCUCAGAAUUUGGACUCUGAAAUAGGACGACACUGUGCCCAUAGCCUACCUGCUGUGGCACUUACCCUUGGGCGCCAGUACUGGCCUUGCCUGCGGACCACCUACCGCUGUUUAGUGUCUGAUGUGCAGUGGAAGGUGCGGUACAUUGUGGCAUCCUGUUUGCAUGAGCUAGCCACUAUCCUGGGCCCAGAAAUUGCUUCACGGGACUUGGUGCCAAGCUUUGAAGGCUUUAUACGAGAUGUGGAUGAAGUGAGAGCUGGCCUGCUUGAGCGGCUUGCACAAUUCUUGCGUGGCUUGAGUAGAGGAGACCAGCGCCGCUCACUGCCUUUGUUGGCAGACUUCCUCUGCAUGGAUAACAGUCGGAACUGGCGCUUUCGAUCCACUCUAGCAAGGCAGCUGAAGGAGAUCGCUGCGCUAUACUGCCCAUUGGAUAUUCAUCAGUACCUAGUCCCCAUUGUCAACGAGUUACUGGCGGAUAAAGUGGCUGAAGUGCGCCUCACAAGUAUUGAUGCUGUUCCGGAGCUUCUUGUUGGACACUUUGUCGGGACCUGGAGCUGACUCGGUCUUGACAGUCUGCAGGACUGCCCUGAUUUCUUGCUGUGAAAGGUCUCUGUCAAGAUCUUCGUUGCAAGAGCCCAAGUAUUCCUGGUGUUCGACUGCCGGGGGUCUGCCGAGGUGAUCAUAUUCUUGCACAAAUUGGAGCCUCACCAUCUCAUGUGUAAGCAGCUCUUACAAGAAAUUUGCACCAAAGUACAUGACCAGAAGUGGGCGCAGCGUCAAUU